GUGGGGAAUUUUGGACAAUGGGCGCAAGCCUGAUCCAGCAAUGCCGCGUGCAGGAAGAAGGCCUUCGGGUUGUAAACUGCUUUUGUACGGAACGAAACGGCUCUGGUUAAUACCCGGGGCUAAUGACGGUACCGUAAGAAUAAGCACCGGCUAACUACGUGCCAGCAGCCGCGGUAAUACGUAGGGUGCAAGCGUUAAUCGGAAUUACUGGGCGUAAAGCGUGCGCAGGCGGUUGUGUAAGACAGGCGUGAAAUCCCCGGGCUCAACCUGGGAAUUGCGCUUGUGACUGCAAGGCUGGAGUGCGGCAGAGGGGGAUGGAAUUCCGCGUGUAGCAGUGAAAUGCGUAGAUAUGCGGAGGAACACCGAUGGCGAAGGCAAUCCCCUGGGCCUGCACUGACGCUCAUGCACGAAAGCGUGGGGAGCAAACAGGAUUAGAAACCCGAGUAGUCC
rnacentral:rRNA from 1 species